rnacentral:rRNA from 1 species
GUUGAACGCUGGCGGCAGGCCUAACACAUGCAAGUCGAACGGAAGAAGGGUGCUUGCGCCUGGAUUCAGAGGGGGAAGGGGGAGUAAUGCCCGGGAAUCUGCCGGGUUGGGGGGGAUGACGUCCGGAGACGGGCGCGAAUAACGCCGAAGUGCUGAGGGAGAAGCUGGGGGGGCGUCGGAACGCACGCUCGGAGAGGAGCCUAGGUCGGAUUAGCUAGUUGGUGGGGUAAGGGCCUACCAAGGAGAGUAUCCGCAACUGGUCUGAGAGGAUGAUCAGUCACACUGGAACUGAGACACGGUCCAGACUCCUACGGGAGGCAGCAGUGGGGAAUAUUGGACAAUGGGCGAAAGCCUGAUCCAGCCAUGCCGCGUGUGUGAAGAAGGUCUUCGGAUUGUAAAGCACUUUAAGUUGGGAGGAAGGGCAGUAAGUUAAUACCUUGCUGUUUUGACGUUACCAACAGAAUAAGCACCGGCUAACUUCGUG